UACGUAGGGUGCAAGCGUUGUCCGGAAUUAUUGGGCGUAAAGAGCUCGUAGGCGGUCUGUCGCGUCUGCUGUGAAAACUCGGGGCUUAACCCCGGGCCUGCAGUGGGUACGGGCAGACUAGAGUGCGGUAGGGGGAGACUGGAAUUCCUGGUGUAGCGGUGAAAUGCGCAGAUAGUCAGGAGGAACACCGGUGGCGAAGGCGGGUCUCUGGGCCGUAACUGACGCUGGAGGAGCGAAAGCGUGGGGAGCGAACAGG
rnacentral:rRNA from 1 species